CCGAAAUUUUAGGGUGUAAAGCCGAAACUUAGGGACAAAGGCAAAGAAAGUCUUAAGUCAUGAGUGUAUUUUCCCUGAUUUAGGGAGUGAUUCAAGGAGAGCAGAGAGAUUGCUUCCUCAAGCAUAAUUGGUCCAUGAUUUAAGCAGUUCAAAACAUUGGUCCAUGAUUUAAGCAGUUCAAAACAGGUAGAAUCCAAUCCCUCUCUCUCUCUCUCAAACAACUCGAUCGUUCUUCCUUCGCAGGUCACCCAUUGCAGGUUGCCCAUUUUGCUACUCCCAGCUAACCCAUCAAUCAUCGUCCACCGUCUCCUAACCGUGCGGACAACUUUCAUCCACAGCCAAGUUACCUAAAUUUUUGCGAUACAGCCAAGGCAAAGCAUGAGCCAGCCGCUUCUCAGGAUCCAUAACUAUUGGGUUUUCAGUUUGCAAUUGUAUUCUCAGGAUUUGUUUGAUCGGCUGGAGAAAGAGAUGAAAACCUAUAGUCAUAGUUCGUGUAAUUGCUUGAGGCGUGCAUGCAGCUGAGAAGCUGGAACUGGAAAGGAAAUAUAUAGCAGUCUUGCUGAGUCACAUGAAACUUGUAAUAAGAGUGGUACAAAUGAAUAUGGUUUCGAGAAAUGGUCAAGAAAGGAAAAAGGAAAACCAUUUGGAAAUGCAAGGAUGGAUUCUAUGAUACUUAAAUAUUGUUGGAAGUUCUAUGGUUGAAUCUUCGUUCAAUAUGGAUUUGUAUUUUGUUUUUUUAUUACUACAUUACCAUUAAUGUAUGAAAAUAACCAUUCCUA